CAAAAUGGAGCUCAACGUUUUAUAUAAAUUCCCUAUGACUUUGUGAUUAUGAUCGUGAUCAUUUUGAAAUCCCAUUUAAUUAAGUCUACACAAAUCUUGGUUAUAUUUGACACAAAAUAGCCCUGUUCUAUGAAACUGUUUAAUGCAAUCAGAGGUGGAUUUAAAAGAACAGGGGGCCCUCCCCUCCCCUUUGUCGAAAAAUUUUGGUUGCUUAUUAAGGGAAUUACUGAAGCGUUACGGGAUCGGCCCCUCUCAAUAGACAGUAAGUGGGCAC
rnacentral:lncRNA from 1 species